ACGAACGCUGGCGGCGUGCUUAACACAUGCAAGUCGAACGAGACGAUUUAGAAGCUUGCUUUUGAAACCCGAGUGGGCAAACGGGUGAGUAACGCGUAGGCAACCUGCCGUUGAGAUGGGGACAACAUCCCGAAAGGGGUGCUAAUACCGAAUGUUGUGGUGAAUCCGCAUGGAUUUACUACUAAAGAUGACCUCUAUUUAUAAGUUAUCGCUCAACGAUGGGCCUGCGUCUGAUUAGCUAGUAGGUAGGGUAACGGCCUACCUAGGCGACGAUACAUAGCCGACCUGAGAGGGUGAUCGGCCACACUGGGACUGAGACACGGCCCAGACUCCUACGGGAGGCAGCAGUAGGGAAUCUUCGGCAAUGGGGGCAACCCUGACCGAGCAACGCCGCGUGAGUGAAGAAGGUUUUCGGAUCGUAAAGCUCUGUUGUAAGAGAAGAACGUGUGUGAGAGUGGAAAGUUCACACAGUGACGGUAACUUACCAGAAAGGGACGGCUAACUACGUG
rnacentral:rRNA from 1 species